rnacentral:rRNA from 1 species
GACGAACGCUGGCGGCGUGCUUAACACAUGCAAGUCGAACGGAAAGGCCUGCUUUCCCUUGUGGAUUGCGGGUACUCGAGUGGCGAACGGGUGAGUAACACGUGAGUGAUCUGCCCCCAACUUGGGUAUAAGCCUGGGAAACUGGGUCUAAUUCCCGAUAGGACUGCAGGGUGGUGCCUGUGGUGGAAAACGAUUUUCUAGUGGUUGGGGAUGAGCUCGCGGCCUAUCAGCUUGUUGGUGGGGUAAUGGCCUACCAAGGCGGCGACGGGUAGCCGGCCUGAGAGGGUGGACGGGCACAUUGGGACUGAGAUACGGCCCAGACUACUACGGGAGGAAGCAGUGGGGAAGAUUGCACAAUGGGCGGAAGCCUGAGGCAGCGACGCCGCGUGGGGGAUGACGGCUGUCGGGUUGUAAACUCCUUUCGACCGCGAGGAAGCCACCUGGUUGGAAGGGUGGUGACGGUAGUGGUAGAAGAAGCACCGGCUAACUACGUG